UACGUAGGUGGCAAGCGUUGUCCGGAAUUAUUGGGCGUAAGCGCGCGCAGGUGGUCCUUUAAGUCUGAUGUGAAAGCCCACGGCUCAACCGUGGAGGGUCAUUGGAAACUGGGGGACUUGAGUGCAGAAGAGGAAAGCGGAAUUCCAGCGUGUAGCGGUGAAAUGCGUAGAGAUGUGGAGGAACACCAGUGGCGGAAGGCGGCGUU
rnacentral:rRNA from 1 species